rnacentral:rRNA from 1 species
AACGAACGCUGGCGGCAUGCCUAACACAUGCAAGUCGAACGAUGCCUUCGGGCAUAGUGGCGCACGGGUGCGUAACGCGUGGGAAUCUGCCUUUCGGUUCGGAAUAACUCAGGGAAACUUGAGCUAAUACCGGAUAACGUCGCAAGACCAAAGAUUUAUCACCGAAAGAUGAGCCCGCGUAGGAUUAGCUAGUUGGUGAGGUAAAGGCUCACCAAGGCGACGAUCCUUAGCUGGUCUGAGAGGAUGAUCAGCCACACUGGGACUGAGACACGGCCCAGACUCCUACGGGAGGCAGCAGUGGGGAAUAUUGGACAAUGGGCGAAAGCCUGAUGCAGCAAUGCCGCGUGAGUGAUGAAGGCCUUAGGGUUGUAAAGCUCUUUUACCCGGGAAGAUAAUGACGGUACCGGGAGAAUAAGCCCCGGCUAACUCCGUG